rnacentral:lncRNA from 1 species
UGAGCACUUGCUAUGCAAAGAUCUUUUUUAAAAACAUAUAUUGAACUGUGUCAAUUAACUGAAUUCCAUUGAAGCGAUCUUUAGUUGUUUAGCAAGCAAAUUUUGUUUUUAAAACGCAAAAACUAACACGAACGAUGAUAAAUCUUAAGACAAAAAGGAGAAUAACUUAAAAAUUGCCAGAAUCUGUUUAGGGAUUGCAGCUAUCUAAGAAGUAACCUAUACUUAUAUCCUAAAAUAUCUGCAAUUGGUUAAAACAUUGUGAGCCAAACUCCGUGUUGAAGGUCGUACAUUGACCUUUAAUGGCAUGGGCGUAUCCAGCCAUUUUAAAAAAGGGGUUCCACACCCCAGGAAAAAGAGGGGAUGGAUUCCAUCUAUAUAUCCUCAUUCAAAUGCAUUGAUCGUCCAAAAAAGGGGCUUUCCAACCCCUGAAACCCUUCCCCUGGAUCCGCCACUGAAUGGGUUAUUUUUACAAAUUGUGGCUUUGAGGGAGAGUUCUGUCAUUGGCACUCAUACCACAUCUUCUUGUAUCUAUAAACACUCUUAAAUAAAAAAAUAAAAACACCUAUUAUCAUUUCAGUACAUUAUAACUUUCAUGUAGUUUUUAGUCACAGGCACUUGUCUCAGAAAUUUGUUUUCCUAUAUAUACCUUAAUAUAACAUUAAGGUAUAUACGGAAAACAAUUUCUGAGACAAAUGCCUAUGUUUUAGCAGUGUUAUUUUGUUUGAGAGAUGUUAUUUCUUUUGGCAGUUUCAGUUUGGAGCCUAUCUUAAAAGUAAUUAAAAGAAUAAAAAUACCGAACUUAAUGGAUAUUUAGUGUCGUAAAGUCCUCUAACUUUUACCGUCAACUGGUAAAUUCAAAAGCUGAAACACAUCAAAUGAAUAGAAAACAAACAGUAAUAAUCCUGACUUGGAACAUGUAAUAAAUUUCCCUGUGUAGACAAUGGUGGCGUUUAUAAUUCCUAGGUAGUAGGUGCUACAAGUAGCGCAGGAUCUGCUAACCCACAAGCAGUACCUAGGGUCAACCACAUAAUGCUGUGUGGUUCAUUUUCAUAAGUCUUUAGUUAUAUAUAUCUUUGAUAUUGAUAUUUUAUAGCGUGUCUUUCUCUGUUGUGAUUGUGUCGAAUAAAAAUGAAAAUGGAAAUGUGAAAUCUGACAAAGAGACAAAGAGACAACAACCCUACCAAAGAGUAAAAAACAGGUGCUGGUCACUAAUGGGUCGGCGUAUUUAUACCAGUAACUUUUACAGAAUUCGAGAACAAUGAUAUCAUCGGCAUACAUGAAUAAAGACAAUUCCUGUACUGCAAAGGGGGAUUUGCCAUUGCUUAAAAAUUCCAUUUCAAAAUCAUUCACAUACAAUGAAAAUCCUAUUUUGUAUUUUGUCUCUCUUUAAGAAAUAUUGAAGUGAUCAAGAAUUCCUAAUGAAGUUAAUCCAGAAAAGCGCUUCGGACGUUUGAAAUU